AUACUUGUCUGGCCUCAGUGGGAGAGGAAGCACCUAGCCUCACAGAAACUUGAAGUUCCAGGGUGGGGGAUACCCAGGAAAGCGGGGAAGGGAAAGGAUUGUGGAGGGGGUGACUGGGAGGAGGGCAGUGAGCAGGAUGUAAAAUGAGUAACAAAGUAAAUUUUUAAAAAUGACAACCAACAUUAAAAAAGGCACUGAUCCCAUUAUCUGGGCUCCACCAUUAUGCCUACUUAAUU
rnacentral:lncRNA from 1 species